CUCUGCAUAACCUGUAGUCCAUUGUGUGUGUGCGUGUGUAUUUGUGGGAGAUGGCAAGAUAAAAAAAAAAAAAAAAAAAAAAAAAGUUAUAAUUAGUGGAACAAACAGCAAGCAGGCACGAGGCACAGUAACGCAAGCUGCAGCUGGUUAAGCAGGGUCAAAGAGACAUAUUCCCUCCUCCCAUCCUCUCUCCUGAAUCCCCUCUGGUGGAGGGAGAUUGAGACAUUGGAGGACAGCCACAUUCAGCAGCAAGUUCUUUUCUCUACAGAUUAAAUUUGGAGACGCGCUUAUAUCGAUAUAUGCGCUUAUAUCGUUGCUUCACAAUCUGCCAUCAUGGAAAACUGGCCAUACAAAGAGUCAGCAUGUUUCUCACUCACUCACUCACACACACGGAAGCACAGUGGAAGAACAGAACCCCAGCGCUCUGCUUUUGGAAUCGGCACACUACAUUGCAUUACUAAUCACUAGACGAAGAGGGUUCGAAAGCGUGAGAACAGGGUUGCCCAUGCCCAAAAUAAAACUGUUUGAUCUAAGCGGCAUUCUCUAGAAUGUUAAUUCCAGAUAUAGUUAAAACGCUCACAGGAGGAUUCCAGAGUGAAUGUAAUCUGGAACUGACAGCGAUUUUAGUGUGUGACACAAUGUUUGGUAAUAACAUUAGCUGUGAAAGAUCCUAAACAGAGAUCAGAUCAGAUAGAUAAGACUGUCGCCCAUAGUUCAAACUAAAGUGAAUCCUGUGAAUUGAUCAUUAAAUUGAAUAUGUGGGUGGUGAGCUGCCUAUUUAAAAGAUAGAAUCCUUGUGGUUCCUUCAAGUUAUGGGACCUAAUCUUAUUAAGACGGGAUGGAACAUGUGCGCAAACACUCCACCCCCCCACCUCCCGAAAAGAAAAAAACAAAAAAAACAACCUAUGUAUUCUUUCUCAUUUAAUAUUGCUACAUUGUGUACAAUUUGACAACCCAAUGUGGGACAGAUUUUACAUUAUUAACUAUAACAAAAGAGGAUAGAAAAACAGCAUUUAACAUUAUUUACUAGCCUUUCUACCCAGAGCCAUCAUCAAUUAUUAUUUUUCUGCAGGAGUAAUGUAACGCCAUAUCUGUUAGAGAGCAGCUGCCUUAGAAAUUUGCCAUUUUCCAUGAGACUAUAUUAUUUUAAACAGCUUUUGUGCCAUUUCUUCUUCAUUUUUAAACAGGUUAAUGGUAUUGUAAAUAAAUGCUUCUUAACUUUGUAACAGGGUCCACAAAGAGGCGCUGUAAGGUGAAAGUGUGGCACGUUCACCAACUGGAGGUUUAUUCUGACUGCUGGUCCCCGUUCAACCGAUUCUGUCUAUUCCUAAUAUUUGAUAUUUUCAAUCUGUUAAAGCAAAUUUAUCUUGAUAAAACUUGCGUUUUAAAACAUAUUCAUUGUCAUAAUGAUUUACCUCUGAAUAAAGCAGAGGGGAAACAUGAAACUGGAUACCAUAAGUUAGAUAGAUCAUCAGUGU